GACAGAGGAGCCAAGCGUUGUCCGGAUUGACUGGGCGUAAAGAGCUCGUAGGCGGUUUGUCGCGUCUGCUGUGAAAUCCCGAGGCUCAACCUCGGGUCUGCAGUGGGUACGGGCAGACUGGAGUGCGGUAGGGGAGAAUGGAAUUCCUGGUGUAGCGGUGGAAUGCGCAGAUAUCAGGAGGAACACCGAUGGCGAAGGCAGUUCUCUGGGCCGUAACUGACGCUGAGGCGCGAAAGCGUGGGGAGCAAACAGG
rnacentral:rRNA from 1 species